AGCGAACGCUGGCGGCAGGCCUAACACAUGCAAGUCGAACGAACCUUUCGGGGUUAGUGGCGGACGGGUGUGUAACACGUGGGAACGUGCCUUUAGGUUCGGAAUAACUCAGGGAAACUUGUGCUAAUACCGAAUGUGCCCUUCGGGGGAAAGAUUAAUCGCCUUUAGAGCGGCCCGCGUCUGAUUAGCUAGUUGGUUGAGGUAAUGGCUCACCAAGGCGACGAUCAGUAGCUGGUCUGAGAGGAUGAUCAGCCACAUUGGGACUGAGACACGGCCCAAACUCCUACGGGAGGCAGCAGUGGGGAAUCUUGCGCAAUGGGCGAAAGUCUGACGCAGCCAUGCCGCGUGAAUGAUGAAGGUCUUAGGAUUGUAAAAUUCUUUCAACGGAGACGAUAAUGACGGUACCCGGAGAAGAAGCCCCGGCUAACUUCGUG
rnacentral:rRNA from 1 species